rnacentral:rRNA from 1 species
AACGAACGCUGGCGGCAGGCUUAACACAUGCAAGUCGAGCGCCCCGCAAGGGGAGCGGCAGACGGGUGAGUAACGCGUGGGAACCUACCUGAAGGUACGGAACAACUCCGGGAAACUGGAGCUAAUACCGUAUGUGCCCGAAAGGGGAAAGAUUUAUCGCCUUCAGAUGGGCCCGCGUCAGAUUAGCUAGUUGGUGGGGUAAUGGCCCACCAAGGCGACGAUCUGUAGCUGGUCUGAGAGGAUGAUCAGCCACACUGGGACUGAGACACGGCCCAGACUCCUACGGGAGGCAGCAGUGGGGAAUAUUGGACAAUGGGCGCAAGCCUGAUCCAGCCAUGCCGCGUGAGUGAUGACGGCCUUAGGGUUGUAAAGCUCUUUCGACGGGGACGAUAAUGACGGUACCCGUAGAAGAAGCCCCGGCUAACUUCGUGCCAGCCGCCGCCGUAAAAC